AUUGAACGCUGGCGGCAGGCCUAACACAUGCAAGUCGAACGGUAACAGGAAGAAGCUUGCUUCUUUGCUGACGAGUGGCGGACGGGUGAGUAAUGUCUGUGAAACUGCCUGAUGGAGGGGGAUAACUACUGGAAACGGUAGCUAAUACCGCAUAACGUCGCAAGACCAAAGAGGGGGACCUUCGGGCCUCUUGCCAUCGGAUGUGCCCAGAUGGGAUUAGCUAGUAGGUGGGGUAACGGCUCACCUAGGCGACGAUCCCUAGCUGGUCUGAGAGGAUGACCAGCCACACUGGAACUGAGACACGGUCCAGACUCCUACGGGAGGCAGCAGUGGGGAAUAUUGCACAAUGGGCGAAAGCCUGAUGCAGCCAUGCCGCGUGUAUGAAGAAGGCCUUCGGGUUGUAAAGUACUUUCAGCGGGGAGGAAGGGAGUAGAGUUAAUACCUUUGCUCAUUGACGUUACCCGCAGAAGAAGCACCGGCUAACUCCGUG
rnacentral:rRNA from 1 species